UUCGAGUUGCGCGGGUUGUAGUCGACGAAGGCGUAGCCGCGCGACUGGUCGAUGGUGUGGAAGAGCGGGUUCCAGUCGAACAUCACCAGCAUGUAGCUCGGCAGGGCGUUGGCGACGAACAUCUUGCCCGAGGCGAUCAUGUUGGCGCGCUG
rnacentral:ncRNA from 1 species